UACGUAGGUGGCAAGCGUUGUCCGGAAUUAUUGGGCGUAAAGGGCGCGUAGGCGGCCUGCUAAGUCGGACGUGAAAUCCCUCGGCUCAACCGGGGAACUGCGUCCGAUACUGACAGGCUCGAAUCCGGGAGAGGGAUGUGGAAUUCCAGGUGUAGCGGUGAGAUGCGUAGAUAUCUGGAGGAACACCAGUGGCGAAGGCGGCAUCCUGGACCGGCAUUGACGCUGAGGCGCGAAAGCCAGGGGAGCAAACGGG
rnacentral:misc_RNA from 1 species